rnacentral:lncRNA from 1 species
CCACUUAAAUAAAGGCAAGUUCUGUAAGAUUACAUUGCUAUUUGUAAAGUUAUGCCUUCGCAGCAUUUCCAAUGCUGUUGGACUUCACGUCCCCAACCUAGCUUGGUGAGGGUUGUAACUAUUUCCAAGUACUUGUACAUUGGAAGUUUGAAUGUGUAACAAUAUUUAAUGUAAUUAGAGAGUUCCUCCUGUUGAAGGGUUUAAGAAACUGGCCCAUUAUUAUGGUCAUGUGACUUUUCUGUACUGUUUAAACUUCAUUGUAAUAAAAUGAGACAAAAAUUUAUGCCUUUUUAUUCAUAAACCCAGCUGUGGACACUGCCUGAAAGGUUUGUACAGAUGCAUGCCACAGUAGAUGUCCACAUAAUAAAACUCAGUUACCAAUACGUUUUGAUACAUGAUUGAAUUCUUUAAGCUGUAGAUGUUUUUUUCGCUGCAUGUCUUAGUAUAUAAGAACUAUACAUAAAGUUCUUGUUAGUGUGUUUGUUGACAGAAAACUCAUAGACACAUGAAUUCAUUACGGGUACGAAGACUGUGUGUCACUGUUGUACAUCUUUUGGUUUCACAUUAUUGCAGAAGUUCACAGUGUAAACUUCACAUUUUCUAAUAUUGUUUAGACCCUAGUGCCAGACCUAUUCAUAUUCUUUUGAUUAAUUUUAAGACAUCAGGUGCCAGUUGAAUAUUUUAUGAACCUCAGAAGCUUUCCAGGUGCGAGCUUCUAGAAGCUUAGGUGCAUGUUUUCGUGUUAAUGGUUUGAUAGAGGUUAACUUCUUUUGUGCACAGUAUCGGAAAGUUUUUAUUAUAUUCCUUGUAGGUUAUGUUAGUUGAGAUUAGAUAGGUAACCUCUGUUGCCUAACUAAGCCAGAUGGUUUGACUGGUAAUUAUGAUCCUUGGAAAUUUUGGAUGUUGCUGUAUUCUUAUAGAAAAUUUUACUUGUAAGGGUGACUACUGUUGGGGAUUUUUUAAAAAUUAUUUAUUUUAUAUAUAUGAGUACAAUGUAGCUGCCUUCACACACACCAGAUGCCAGGGGUUCCCAUUACAGAUGGUUGUGAGCCACCAUGUGGUUGCUGGGAAUUGAACUCAGGACCUCUUGAAGAUGGCCAUCUCGAGCCGCACUGUUGGGGAUUUUGUGUUGGAUGUCUUACCAUAGUAGCUCUAACAGCUUUUGUUGACAUCUUAUUUUGGGGGGGGGGGGUUGGGUAGAUUUAUGAUCAGUUAUUUUUAAGUAUCUUGUAAUCUGUACAAAGUAAUUAUCCAUAAACGAAUAUAGGUUGGGCUUGAUUUAAUAAUUCUGAGGAAAUACUAGCCGUCUUUAAUAAUUUCUAUGAAGUGUAUUAGAUAAAAGUUUGUGACAACAAAAGUUAUUCUAAUUUUGUAGGAAUUUUAACUUGAAAAUUUUUGGAUUGUUACAGAGGAAGUGAACAAGUAAAAAUUCUGACAAAUGACAAUUUGAAGCUGAAUGCCGUUGUUAGCUUGGUAUUCGCUGCACUGACUCUGUGCCUCCUCUGCAGUAGUUACAGUGAGGUACAGAAAACUUGCAUCUACUUAUAAUGAACACAGACCAUAUAUACCAAAGUGAGUUCCUGCCAACAGCUGAAUUACAUGUCACUGUUCACCUGAACACUUGUUAACUAAAGCUCUCUCAGAAAAGAAACACAACAAAAUACUACCUUUUUUAAAAAGAUGGCAAAAUUAAGUUUAGAAAGGUUUGUAAUGCUUUCUUUCUAAAACAAGCAUUUCAGAAUUCCAUUAUCAGAAAAACUGAAGUGUUGGUAGAACUUAUACAAAGAUUAUAUUACAAAGAAUUAUUACAAAGAUUUAACAUUUGUAUUUUGUUCAAAGAACAAGAUAAGAUAGCAGGACUUAUUCUUGAUAUCUACAACUUAUAAGUAAAAUCUUUAUUUAAAAUUUUGUGUUUACAUUAUAUUUACGUAUAAUUUGUAUUUUGUAGCUGCAUGGCUCAGGAGUGGUAUCCAUUUAGUUAUGUUGCUGAAAAGUAUAAUUUUUGAAUGCAUCAAGAAUUAUGCUUCUAGAAAGUUCUGCAUACCUAAUUGCUUCUGGGGUCCAUAGUAUGACAAGUGUAACAAUUUUGAAGUGGUUUACACUUGAAUUGCAGACGUCUCAGAAAAAAGACUGCUUUCAGUCCUGUACAACACUUAAUGAAGCUAUAAGAUGAAUGAGCCACUCAGCCUCAUCCACUUGUGUGGCAGUUUAAUAAAAAAAGUCUGGCACUGCUUUCUACUCCUAUUUUACACUGAUAGAAAAAAGACUAGCAGAUGAGGAUCUACUUCUGAGUGACUUGUGAGUUAUCACUUAAUUUGUCUCCUUACUAUUAUAGUAAUCAUGCCACUUGUUAGGAGGAGAACACCUAUUUGACAGUUCAGAUUACACAUGAACUUAAACUGAGUUUAAUGAGUUAUUUAUGGAAAUCUCCAAGAAAUAGGUUUGGACUCACAAUGCAUUUAUAGACAAAUAAGACCAUGCUCUUUUUCUGUUGCUUGCUUGAUCAUUGGGACUUUAAAAAUGAUGCAUGUCUUUUUUAAUUCUUGGGUGAUGUUUUUCUAAAUUAAAAAUUUUUUCUUCCUUUAGCCCUGCCAUAGGACAGGCUGAGGCUGAGUCUCAGUGUUGCCCUGUUCAGUCUGAGCAGCAGAAUUUCAGCAUUUGCUACUUACUGGUAGAGAAGAAAAACCCCACAGCCCUGCCAGUACAGGUUAGUUUAAUCUGUAAGUACCUGAUGUUCCUUUUUUUUCCCCUCCCACCCCACAAACAUAACCAUUUAAGGCACAUAAGGAAGGAAGCUGCUGUGCAGUUACUUACUGUGAGUAUAGUAACAUUGGGUGCUCUCAGACACUCAGUUCUUGGGCCAGAUGGAUUUCUAGGUUUGGGAACCUCAGCUGUAAUAAAGGUGUGAUGCAGCUCCUUGAUUAUUGGUUGUUCUUGACCUAUGUAGAUACCUCCUAUAUAAUAGAGGAAAGAAAUACUUGGAUUGGCUCAGUCCAUGGUGGUAAUAGUUUGUAUGUCUCUGUAAGCUAUAAAUUACAUCACUGGCUUGGAAGCUCACCGCACAUUGAGAACCCUGCACAGUGGUGCACAUCUUUAAUCCCAGAACUCUGCAGGCAGAGGUAGACAUAGUGUAAAUUUAAGGCCAGGCUAGGCUGUGUAAUGAUUCCCUGUCUUUAACAAAAGAAAGGUAAUUCUUGGAAGACGAGGAAGUCAUGCACAUCUUGCUUGAUAAAGCCAAUAAAAAUAAGUCAGAUACUGAUUAGCCAGCCUUCGAUUGGAUCAUUAUUAUUUUAUUUGGGAAUAAUAAGAUUUGUUUAAAUUUUUAAUGAUCUACAUCUACUGACCAGUAGUAAAAUGUAUUCUGUGAGUUUCCCCCCACAUUGCUUUUUAAUUGUAAAAUUGCCUGAGGGCUUAAGUUUUAUUGCCUUUCACAGUUUAUAAGAAUGGCGUAGAUACAGUGGAAAUGGUUUUCCUUAAAACCAUCUCUUUAAGAGCUGCCUUUCUGGUGAGUACUGCUUUAUAAUUUUUGUAUCACACUUUUUUUUAAGCUAGCUGGGAGGUGACAGUGAUUGAAAAGUGCAGUCCGAAUUGUCAAAGCUUGGACCAGAACCUUAAGGUGAUGGUUACUACCUGAUUCUCUAUGUUCCCUGUUUAGAUUCUCUUUUUUCCCCCUCAUUUCCCUAAAGGAUUGUGUGCAUAAAAACAUUGAACGCAGAUCAUUUGCUUUGGUGAGGGGAAAAAUUGUUUUGUUUUGGUUUUUUUUUUUUUUUUUAAUGUUUAAGAAAAUGUAGGGACAGGAGGCAUGGCUCACUAGUUAAGACCAUGUCAUACCCCAGGUGGUGGCAUCCACUCUGCAGGCAGAGACCAGUCAUCGCUGAGUUUCAGGACAACCAGGGCUGUAUAGAGGAGUCUCCCCCAAAGUGAAGGAAUGUGUCCUGCGUUUGUUGGAAUCAGUUGAGGUUCCCAGUGUGUGUCCUGGCUCACAACCACCGCUCCUUCAGGAUCUGACACCUUGAACUUUUGUGCUCAUAUACUUAAAACACAGCAUACAAUUAAGAAUACAUAUGUUUUAAAGAUCAAAGAUUACCUUUUUUGCCCCAGUGCUCAUUUCUCACUGCUAGGUUAAGGAAAUAAUAGAUUUAGUACUCUCUUUCUCGAGUACUUGAACUGUAUAAAUCAUUCCAACCCUGCAUGGAAAAACUUGCAUUACAAAUGCAAGAUUUUUUAGCAUUUGUUUACCUGGGAAGAUUAACUUACAAAAAUAUUUUACUGUCUUGUUUAGUGACGAGUUUGUAACAUAAGGAUUUUCCCUGUAGUUUUUAAGCUAGAUUUUUAGAUAAUGCAGGCAUAUUUGUAUAUACAUUGUAUUUCUUCUAUGAUUUUUGUGAAUAAAUCUACCUUUUUCCUCCUUAGUAUGACAAUAUUUGUUUUCUAAAAUCUGAAUGUGUAAUCUGAGAGUGUGUGGUAAUGAAUUCUAGGUGAGCUCUCAACAAAGUUUUGAGCCUAAAUUUGUGUCUUUAGAUUAUAGUGAAAUAAAUUUCUAAGGAACUCUGUCCUUUCCUAGCAUGGAUAAACAGACAGUGACAGUUGGUAAGUAUGUAACUUUAAAUGCAUGUAGUAGUGGUAAAGUUGAGCUACCAAACUAUUCCAAGACAGUUAGAAGUGAGUCCUUCUAGGACUUUAUAUGUAUAUCUGACAUUUUACUCCAAAUCUAUUACUCAUGAUUAAACUGAAAUGCAACCUUACCUUGUCUGAUUUGUUUUUUGUUGUUCAUUUUGUUUUUAGAAGAAUUUUGUAUGGUAGUUUAAAAAUCUAAUUUUAUAUUUAAAACCUUUCCUUGGUGUAUCAGUACGUGGCUCUUCUGACAACCAAAUAUUGAUCCGAAGAUUUACUUCAAACACUUUGGUUUCCAUUUAUAACUAAGCAAAAUAUAGUGGCAAAAGAGAGGACUACUCUAAUUUUAGUCUAUAAUAGGAAAUCAGUGCAGAAUUACGCUUUAUUUUUAUUUUAUGUGUCUGUGGUGCACCCACAUGCAGUUUUCUCCUGAGGCCAGAAGAUUGUCUGAUUGUUAGAGUGGAGUAGAGCUUCAGACACUGGUAACCCACCCCUGAGCAGUACCCAUUCAUCCUUGGCCAGUUCGGGGUCAGUGUUGGAAUUUGGUGGUGGGAAGAAGGCUUUCUUUAUUUUUUAUGAUUGCGGCCCCCCAAUUGUGAGAAUUAUUUCAGGGGGUAGAUCGGAGGACAACUUCUUUACAGUUUGUGUUCGUAUGUGGUUUCCUAGGGAGACAUCUCAACCACCCUCUGGUGUUCUGUUGGUAACAGAAGUAUGACAGGUUAAAAUGAAAAGCAUUUUAAUUUUAUUUCUGAGACAAAGUAUUUAUUUACAGCAUUGUUUUCUGAAAAGUUUAAAGAAGGUGGGUAUGCAUGUCUUUAAUUUAGUCUCCAGGUUUACCUCCUAACAAGUGUCAGUUGGAUUUGGAGGAAAUGAAGAGCCAAUCUGUGGGGAUGUGAUUGUAUGGAGGGUCUGAGUAUAGCAGCAGGAGGAAGAAUAAACUUGCAGCCUGUGUGCUAUUAAAUGGUUACAGGAGCAGAGAUCGUGACGAAUGUUACUCUAUAACUAAUGUCUGCUAAAGAUAUUAUAUGCUAGCCUUUAAUUCAUUAACAUUGGAACCUUGUGAUACAUGAAUUUUGGUCGAGUUUAUUUAAAAAUAAAAAAUUUCCCACACAAAUAAUAGUGUAUGUGAUA